GACGAACGCUGGCGGCGUGCUUAACACAUGCAAGUCGAACGGAAAGGCCCUGCUUUUGUGGGGUGCUCGAGUGGCGAACGGGUGAGUAACACGUGAGUAACCUGCCCUUGACUUUGGGAUAACUUCAGGAAACUGGGGCUAAUACCGGAUAGGAUCUCCUGCUGCAUGGUGGGGGUUGGAAAGUUUCGGCGGUUGGGGAUGGACUCGCGGCUUAUCAGCUUGUUGGUGGGGUAGUGGCUUACCAAGGCUUUGACGGGUAGCCGGCCUGAGAGGGUGACCGGCCACAUUGGGACUGAGAUACGGCCCAGAAUCCUACGGGAGGCAGCAGUGGGGAAUAUUGCACAAUGGGCGGAAGCCUGAUGCAGCAACGCCGCGUGCGGGAUGACGGCCUUCGGGUUGUAAACCGCUUUAGCCUGUGACGAAGCGUGAGUGACGGUAAUGGGUAAAGAAGCACCGGCUAACUACGUG
rnacentral:rRNA from 1 species